rnacentral:rRNA from 1 species
AUUGAACGCUGGCGGCAGGCCUAACACAUGCAAGUCGAACGAGUGGCGGACGGGUGAGUAAUGCCUGGGAAACUGCCCGAUGGAGGGGGAUAACUACUGGAAACGGUAGCUAAUACCGCAUACCAUCGGAUGUGCCCAGAUGGGUGUAGCUAGUAGGUGGGGUAAGGGCUCACCUAGGCGACGAUCCCUAGGUGGUCUGAGAGGAUGAGCAGCCACACUGGAACGGAGACACGGUCCAGACGCCGACGGGAGGCAGCAGUGGGGAAGAUUGCACAAUGGGCGCAAGCCUGAGGCAGCCAUGCCGCGUGUAGGAAGAAGGCCUUCGGGUUGGAAAGUAAUUUCAGCGAGGAGGCGUUACUCGCAGAAGAAGCACCGGCUAACUCCGUGCCAGCAGCCGCGUAUUC